UACGGGGGGGGCAAGCGUUGUUCGGAAUUACUGGGCGUAAAGGGCGCGUAGGCGGCCUGCUAAGUCGGAUGUGAAAUCCCGUCGGCUCCAACCGGGGAACUGCAUCCGAUACUGGCGGGCUUGAAUCCGGGAGAGGGAUGUGGAAUUCCAGGUGUAGCGGUGAAAUGCGUAGAUAUCUGGAGGAACACCGGUGGCGAAGGCGGCAUCCUGGACCGGUAUUGACGCUGAGGCGCGAAAGCUAGGGGAGCAAACGGG
rnacentral:rRNA from 1 species